UGACCUCUGACCUCAAAUCAGGUAGGACUACCCGCUGAACUUAAGCAUAUCAU
rnacentral:rRNA from 1 species